UUAACAGCGGUGUUAGCGCACAAAGAAUUUUGAUUUCUUGGGAGGGGGAUUAGACCCCCUUGUUAAA
rnacentral:tRNA from 1 species